AUCCCGACAAACGUAAUUUCAAUUACAGACGGUCAAAUCUUCUUAUCAGGAGACCUAUUUAACUCUG
rnacentral:tRNA from 1 species